GACGAACGCUGGCGGCGUGCCUAAUACAUGCAAGUAGACGCACAGUUUAUACCGUAGCUUGCUACACCAUAGACUGUGAGUUGCGAACGGGUGAGUAACGCGUAGGUAACCUGCCUGGUAGCGGGGGAUAACUAUUGGAAACGAUAGCUAAUACCGCAUAAUAUUGAUUAUUGCAUGAUAAUUGAUUGAAAGGUGCAAUUGCACCACUACCAGAUGGACCUGCGUUGUAUUAGCUAGUAGGUGAGGUAACGGCUCACCUAGGCGACGAUACAUAGCCGACCUGAGAGGGUGAUCGGCCACACUGGGACUGAGACACGGCCCAGACUCCUACGGGAGGCAGCAGUAGGGAAUCUUCGGCAAUGGACGAAAGUCUGACCGAGCAACGCCGCGUGAGUGAAGAAGGUUUUCGGAUCGUAAAGCUCUGUUGUAAGAGAAGAACGGGUGUGAGAGUGGAAAGUUCACACUGUGACGGUAUCUUACCAGAAAGG
rnacentral:rRNA from 1 species